rnacentral:tRNA from 1 species
CGGGCAGUAGCUCAGUGGUACGGCUCCCGCUUCGUAUGUGGGAAGACCUGGGUUCAAUCCCAUGCUGCUUAC